rnacentral:rRNA from 1 species
GAGUUUGAUCCUGGCUCAGAUUGAACGCUGGCGGCAGGCCUAACACAUGCAAGUCGAACGGUAACAGAACUAGCUUGCUAGUUGCUGACGAGUGGCGGACGGGUGAGUAAUACUUAGGGAUCUGCCUCUGUGUGGGGGAUAACUAUUGGAAACGAUAGCUAAUACCGCAUAACGUCUACGGACCAAAGAGGGCUUCGGCUCUCGCGCAGAGAGGAACCUAAGCGAGAUUAGCUUGUUGGUGAGGUAAAGGCUCACCAAGGCGACGAUCUCUAGCUGUUCUGAGAGGAAGAUCAGCCACACUGGAACUGAGACACGGUCCAGACUCCUACGGGAGGCAGCAGUGGGGAAUAUUGCACAAUGGGGGCAACCCUGAUGCAGCCAUGCCGCGUGUGUGAAGAAGGCCUUCGGGUUGUAAAGCACUUUCAGUUGUGAGGAAAGGAAUGUAGUUAAUAUCUGCAUUCUGUGACGUUAACAACAGAAGAAGCCCCGGCUAACUCCGUGCCAGCAGCCGCGGUAAUACGGAGGGGGCUAGCGUUGUUCGGAAUUACUGGGCGUAAAGCGUACGUAGGCGGAUCAGAAAGUAUGGGGUGAAAUCCCAGGGCUUAACCCUGGAACUGCCUCAUAAACUCCUGGUCUUGAGUUCGAGAGAGGUGAGUGGAAUUCCAGUGUAGAGGUGAAAUUCGUAGAUAUUUGGAGGAACACCAGUGGCGAAGGCGGCUCACUGGCUCGAUACUGACGCUGAGGUACGAAAGUGUGGGGAGCAAACAGGAUUAGAUACCCUGGUAGUCCACACCGUAAACGAUGAAUGCCAGUCGUCGGGCAGUAUACUGUUCGGUGACACACCUAACGGAUUAAGCAUUCCGCCUGGGGAGUACGGUCGCAAGAUUAAAACUCAAAGGAAUUGACGGGGGCCCGCACAAGCGGUGGAGCAUGUGGUUUAAUUCGAAGCAACGCGCAGAACCUUACCAACCCUUGACAUGCCUGGACAAUCCGAGAGAUCGGACUUUCCUUCGGGAACCAGUGCACAGGUGCUGCAUGGCUGUCGUCAGCUCGUGUCGUGAGAUGUUCGGUUAAGUCCGGCAACGAGCGCAACCCACAUCUUUAGUUGCCAGCAGGUUAAGCUGGGCACUCUAGAGAAACUGCCCGUGAUCAACCGGAGGAAGGUGGGGAUGACGUCAAGUCCUCAUGGCCCUUACGGGUUGGGCUACACACGUGCUACAAUGGCAGUGACAAUGGGUUAAUCCCCAAAAGCUGUCUCAGUUCGGAUUGGGGUCUGCAACUCGACCCCAUGAAGUCGGAAUCGCUAGUAAUCGCGUAACAGCAUGACGCGGUGAAUACGUUCCCGGGCCUUGUACACACCGCCCGUCACACCAUGGGAGUUGGGUCUACCCGACGGCCGUGCGCUAACUCUUCGGAGAGGCAGCGGACCCCGGUAGGCUCAGCGACUGGGGUGAAGUCGUAACAAGGUAACCGU